rnacentral:lncRNA from 1 species
CUGUCAGGGCCCUUUUAGUUGUCAACGGCCCUGACCUUGUCAAUAACUUUGAGUUUGUAAAGAGUCUGUAAAUGUUGUGUCGGGCAAGACUUCGACAUAGGAUUUUCCUUAUUUUGGGAUGGGCAUUGCAUGUAAAUUGGCAUCCGGUUGGCUACCCGCGGGUUCACUUGUGCUACACAUCCAAGGGGACAUAGGUUUCGCUAACGAUGGCCGCUUAUGCGACGGAUUGAGCCGGACGCGUGUCGGACAUGGGUCGGCGGCCUAUUUUCCCAUGGAUGUGCGGAGUGGGAAAACGUACCCCUCGGUGAGCACCUUUGUACCCCCGGGGUGCCAAAUGGGUGGAUGCUAAUAUAGGGUAGUACGGGAAGGUUAGGUGAGACGUAUUAAGUGAGCCCGCUUCGCUAAAAGCGUAGUGUCUUGGUGAUCAUUUUGCCCUCACCGGCCAUGCCCGACCAAGUCGAGUCUUGUGCCUUUCGCUUGUAGUCCAACUUUUCGUUAUCAAUAAAAUACUCGUUGUUUGUGCCAAUUUGCAGGAUCCCUUUACGUGCUUUCUCUCGAUUCUCGGUCGUUGCCAAUUUGCGAAGUUGCGCCUCGGGACGGUUUUGCUUGGCUGGCUCGUUUUGUGCAGGUGACAGACGAGCGCCGCGCGGGCUUUUCGACAAAAAGUCAUUAGACCCGUGACANNNNN